AACGACCUGCGGUUGAUGACCUUGGGAAUUACGGGCGUUGCGGUGCGCCUGCUGGGAAAAAUCGUCUACUACACCAUCGACUACAUCAUAUCCAUGACAACGAAGCCGAAAGUUUCCCAGAUGAUUGUACUCUUUACUCUGCACUUUGAGGAGGUGCCAGCGAUGUGGAUCCCGACCGUGUAUCCAGCUUCGAUACUACUGCUAAUAGAG
rnacentral:lncRNA from 1 species